rnacentral:lncRNA from 1 species
CCGCAGCGUUCGCUGAACUCAACCCGCGGGUAGGACGGAGCUCAGACCAGCUGAACCUCUUGUUGGUUUUAUACUGAGUCGACGUCAUCCUGGAUUUAGUUCCUGGUAAUAUGCAGAUGACAAACAGAACCAGAUUUGGCCCUUUCUUUUCCUUUGGGUGGGGGAAGAGGGUUGGGGGGAGGGGGAGAGGUGCCAAGGGGAGGGGGUUACAAGGCCUGAAAAGAGAUUGUGGAUUGCGAAUUAAUGAAAUUAACCUAAUCUUUUCCAUUCGGCAGCCGGGCCGCGGGCCGGCCGAGCUGGGCGGGCGGCCUAAUUGCCUUGGUUAAUCUCAUUAAUUCCUUUGUGCCGCCGCAGUUAACAACUCCCUCCGCCCGAGCUCUCCACCCCCACCCUUUUUUCUCAGAUUGGGUCCUAUUAUUGGGUGCGAUUUCCUCUGCCUGUAGCUCAAAUUCAUUGUGGACGAUUUUACUUUGGGGCUACUUUUUUCCCCCUUUCGGAAUUGGUUUUGUUUUAGAAAAUGUGAGGGGCUGCAUCCCCUCUCAAGCAGGAUUGAAAAUUCCACCACUCCUCCGCGCCCCCACGUACUCACCGCCUGAUUUACCUCUUUUUUAAAUCUUGAGUUUCUCUCCCGAAUGGAACUUGUUAACCCCCCCAAAAAACUUUUGGUUUUGUAAAAUCCAAAUUUUGUAAAGGCAAAAACGACUAAAGGAGGGGUGCAUCGUGCUUCUUAAAAAGAUUUUUUUUUCCAGCCACUCUGGGUCUGAAAACUACCAUGGCAGUCCCUAGGUCCUACACAGCGAAGACCAAAUUCAGCCGCUCUUUAAAAUUCGCCACCAAGAGUUGCAGUCUGAAGCGGUGCUUCUAGCUGCUCCCAGCGUGGGUGUCGGUAGUUUUUGUGCUUUUAAAAAAUUAGUUUUGGAAAUGUGGUGCCUUCUCUCCCAAACUAUUUUUUUGAUUUUCAAUCCAGAUGGGGUCUUUGGGACUUCCCUAUCUUCUUCCCCAAUAAUUGGGUCGCAUUUUUCCUUACGACCUGCUGGCUGCCGGUAGGCCUGCCCUUCCGCCUGGCAGGCCCAGAGUGGAUUCCCUGGGCCGCAGUGGCCUGGACGAUGGCCGGGUCUGAUAGCGGCAGGCGGCCGCGAUGAUUUGCGGGAUUCUCGGCAUGGCACGGCCAGCCUGCCCGAGCCACGGGAGGCGCAGCCAGCCCACCACUCACGGCAAGCAGGCGGCCGAGCGCCCUUCGAGAAGAGACUUAAGUCACCAUGCUCCAGGGCAGAUACUCCCCCACCAAUCUUUCCCAGGUUUAAAGCUACAGGGCAGUUGAUGGACGACAACUAGAGGCUGCAACUUAUCAGUGACUGCCUGCGUUUGUGUUGGAGGCUGGGUGUGCGCUGCGGUGCGCGUGUGAGUGGAUCUUUUAAGACCUUUGUCUGAGCCGGGCAGAGGCACAAGUGCCACCUGACGCUUGGGGCAGAUUCCUCGUCCUGUUCUUGCAAAGAUGCCAAAUCAGGAGAGUGUCAAGAUUUCAACCGCAGACCUAAAAAAAGUGUCUCCAUGUUUUUAAAAGUAUCAGACAACCACCUCCACACACCCCUCCGUCUCCCCUUCCACCUGGAACAUUGUUCUUUUUAAUAACCAGGUUUAGCAAACUGCUAUACUGCGCCUGUGCUUUCCUGCAGCCCUCCGCUGUACCAGCUGAGCCCUGUACAGAAUCUGAGCGUCAGAGUUGCAGACCCAACCUUGCCACCUUGCAAAUCAUCCCUUCUCUGGAGGCCUCAGGAUUUUAGUUGAUCAAACCAACACCAACAUUCAUUGGGUCCCUUUGCAACCCUAACAUUUAAUGAGACUUGGUAAUUGUCAUCCGUUCGCCAAGGAGGUUGGGGAUGAACUUGGGGGCAUUUUCUUGUUUAUUUUUCAUUGAGACAAAGGAGUGUGCUGUCCCCACCUCCGCCCCCAGACAAGGACAGGGUUCCUACAUCAGCUGGGUCUAAAAUAAGGAAAAGCGAGUGCUGCCGCAGAGGGGACUUUCCGGGAAGGGGGUCACAGGAACCCCAAGGCCACACAGCUCCAGACACUCUGCCGGAGCUCUAGGGGAGCUCACCCCUGCGCGGCGGGACCUCCCCCAUCGGGUUGCCCCUUCAAUCUGCAGCCGCGCGGAGGCAGGCCCCGGGAAAGGCAGUCGGCGCUCGGUGCUCGCACUGCGCCUCGGCGGGCGGAAACUCACAAGUGUCCUCAACGUGCUAAACAAACCAUCAGGGCCCCGCAUCGCCUGGCGCAAUUGGAAUAACAAAUGCGACGCACGCAAAUUGUCCACCUCGUGUUGCUAAGCGAUUGUUUGUCGGCCCCGCACGCACAGCUCAGCAUGGGAGGACCGCGAGCGUCCAGAGGCAGCCGGCGAGCGCUUAGGUCGGAAAUGCAGUAAACAUGCCGCUGAUUUUCCCUAUUAUCACCCAAACACGAUUUCACACAAAGCAAUCACCACGCAGAAGUCUAUGAAAAUGUGUUUGUUGAGGAGUCACUCGCCCCAGUAAUAGUCCUCAUUUUUAAGAUAUUAAAGAAUAGCUCAGCGGAUUCCACAUGCAUAAGGUCUAUUUGCCGUUCGGCAUCUGUCACGGCGCUUUUGCACUGCGGUCAUCACUAAAUUGAUUCAUAGAGUGUAGAUUAAAUUGCUUCUCUGAUUUAAAACAGUGUCCAACUUUGGAGUAUGCGUGUGAGUAUCUUCUCCCGCCCCAAGGUAUUUUUGUCAGGGAGAAAACUGUCGCCCCACUAUCCUUACACCCCAUUCCGCAUAACUGUAAAAAAAUAAUGCAUCUUCGACCCCAACUUCUUACGGUUCGUUUCAGGAACUUUCUUAAUUCUCUCCGUCUCCUGCCCGGCCACAGAGCAGAGUUCACAAUCGGAUGCGUUUAAGUCGGAUUUUUCGUGUCAUGUGCAAAAAGCCGGUGUGUCCUUUUCAAGGUACGGAGCCCUCAUCGGAGGGCGCAUUAGCGGGGUCAGAGGAAUUAGGAGCAAUGCGCAGAGCCCCCUGCAGCCCGCGUGCUGCGCCGAGACCUCAGCCGUCCUCACUGAGCGGAAUGGUUGUGUUGUUUGUAUUGGGACUUUUAAAAAAUCCAGUCUCAAAGCUAAGUGCUCAAACCCCGUUCCAUGGCUCUGCUGCUUUCUGGAGGACAUCUCCGGUAGCCCCAGGGGAUUGUCCGUGUGAGGUUGGGUGGGUGGAGUAGAGCCAGAGGCGCAAAUGCCUCCUGGCUAAGGGGCAGCGCGCAUUAGAGCUGGGUCUCCUGCUUUCGGAGCGGAGGGCGUAAGGGAGCUUUCUAGCUGAUUUUUUGCUAGAAGUUUUCCAACGCUCCAAAUAAAAGCACCCGAUCCCCUAAGGACGAAAUAAUCAAGGUGUUAGGGAAGCUCAACAGAAGAGAAGAGACGAGAAGAGAAGAGAAGAGAAGAAGGGGCUAUCGAAAAAUGACGUGUUCCCAAGGCCUUAGAAAAAUAAAUAAAUAAAUAAAUAAAUAAAUAAAUAGCUUGGACUUUCCGGGGUUGCAGAAAUCCGAUUUCAGCCGGGCUAUUUACCAAAAUUUGUUUCAAAAUGACUGCACCUUUGCUUUUGCAAGUCACAGAAUGCAAAUGACGAUAAUUUGUUCUCAGAAGAAGUUUCUCUUGAAAUGAUUAGCAAAGUCAGUCAUUUGAAAAUUAGAACGAAGCCCUUCGCUAACUGAUAUCUGCUUCUAAAGUUUUCAUUCAUGUAAACCUCAUUAAUGAAGAUCUUUUAUUUAAACGUCAAGGGGAUUUGAAAUUUAGAGUAAAUUAUGAAGCUUGUAUGUCUAGCCAAGUCAUGGGUCAAAUGCAUUUGUGAAAAACUGCUAAAGAGCAUAUGGUUUUGAAUUUUUCUACAAUGACUAGUGUUUAAAUAAAUUGCUUGUACUGCUUAACUUCAUGUGUAAUUUUGACAGAAAUUGGCCUAUAGCCUUUUGAUAUGUAAACAUUUCAGCCUUUUAUGCGGUAUAAAAAAGACACUUGCUUUUUAGGAUCAGCCCAGGCAGUCACCCUGUAAUUCAGAAAGCUGGUACCUACCAUUACAAUCUUGCUAGAUUUCAACUUUCAAGUGGCAGCCUCAGGGGGAGAAAAAAAGAAAAGAAAGAAAGGGGAUAUUUCAAAAGCAAUGUCCAUUUGGGAUUAAAAGCUACAAAUGAGGUGAGAACGUGCCACUUACUAUCUGAAAGAAAUGGAUAAACCAUAGUUAUUAAAGAACAUUUCUGUCAGUUUUCUUUAAGCCAGCCCGUCUGAGGGGACACUUAAGCAGGGCUGGGAACUGACUAGCAUGCCAUUAAAUGCUUGUCUUAGGGCCGAGCUAAUCAGUCCAACACACAAAUAGGUGUUAAAAAUCUAGGUAUCAUUUCAGGAUGUUACCAGGGAAAUCGCUCUGUGUCACAGAACCCAUUAAGAUGCAAAACUCAUCCAGGGCACAGAAUGGCUGGACACAAAUGGCUCAUAUGAGCCAUGCACGGGGGUUUUUCUCCGUGGGAACUGCAAAGUCCGUGCAGGGCACAGUUCAGAGCCCUCCCUGGGCUGCCAGGGUUUUUGAAACACAUACAUACCUGCAUAAACCCAUUUGUUGCUAAUAUAUCCGUCUCCCGUAAAUAAGCCAAGGAAUGUGGAUUGGACUGCGGGUCACCAAUGGGGAUUCAAAGCGUCCCAUAAGGUUGCCCUCCCAAGUGCGAGACCGGGCCACACGUUGAUUUCCUGCGUACUCUGGUGGGGCGAGCGCUGCUCCUUCCCAUCUGCUCUCACAGUCUUGCCGUAUUUAUCCUAUGUGUCAGUUUUGUCAUAUACAGACUUUCUGAGAGACGCCACCCCUUUUGUGAAGUUUUGAAGGAACUGGGGAGAAAGAAUGCUCACUUGACAAGGGAGACCAGUUCCUUUGUAAACAGUUGAGCCGCCUGAGCAAAUUGAGAUCCUCUUAAUUAAAAAGAUCAUUCUGGGGCGAAAUCUAAUUAAGAAAAAAAGACACGCUGAGAAAGACAGAAGGAGGUGUUUUGUUUACAUUUCUUAUGCAUUCCAGCUUAUCAUAUUGGUCAGCAAUCUGGGAAGGAAAUGACACAUUUGAUGAUGUAAGAAAAGCAGAAGGCUUUUUUUUUUCUAAGCUUCUACACUUCAGUCUAGCCUUUCAGUACAUUUUGAAAUGAAUAAGGGUACACUUUUCC